UACGUAGGGGGCAAGCGUUGUCCGGAUUUAUUGGGCGUAAAGAGCGUGUAGGCGGCCAGGGAGGUCCGUUGUGAAAACUCGAGGCUCAACCUCGAGACGUCGGCGGAAACCAUCUGGCUAGAGUCCGGAAGAGGAGAGUGGAAUUCCUGGUGAAGCGGUGAAAUGCGCAGAUAUCAGGAAGAACACCCGUGGCGAAGGCGGCUCUCUGGGACGGUACUGACGCUGAGACGCGAAAGCGUGGGGAGCAAACAGG
rnacentral:rRNA from 1 species